UCCAUGCUGGGCCUCUUCCCUGUCACGCCC
rnacentral:piRNA from 1 species